CGGAGAAGAACUACAGGAUUCCCCUAGUAACGGCGAGUGAAGCGGGAACAGCUCAAAUUUGAAAUCUCACAGGGUUACCUGUGCGAAUUGUAGUUUAGAGAAGCGUUUUCGGGGGCGACUUGGGUAUAAGUCCUCUGGAAAGAGGCAUCAUAGAGGGUGACAAUCCCGUUUAUGAUCCAAUGUUCGCUCCUAUGUGAUACGUUUUCUAAGAGUCAGGUAGUUUGGGAUUGCUGCCUAAAAUGGGUGGUAAAUACCAUCUAAAGCUAAAUAUUGGCGAGAGACCGAUAGCGAACAAGUACCGUGAGGGAAAGAUGAAAAGAACUUUGAAAAGAGAGUUAAACAGUACGUGAAAUUGCCAAAAGGGAAACGCUUGGAACCAGUAUUGCCGGCAGGUAAUCAGCCGCACGUCCCGAAAGGGGUGCGUGCGGUGCACUUGCCUGCCGGCGGGCCAACAUCAGUUUGGCUUGAGGUAAAAAGCCGGAGGAAGGUAGCUUGGACUUCGGUCUGAGUGUUAUAGCCUCCGGUAAUGCCUUGGGCUGGACUGAGGUCUGCAGCGUUAUUUGGAUUCCCGAUCGCCUCCUGAAGCUAAGGUGCAGACAGCUUGCUGACUGUGUCGGAGUCUAGGGAGCCCGGUCGGUUCAUCACACCAACGCUUAGGAUGUUGGCGAAAUGGUUCCAAACGACCCGUCUUGAAACACGGACCAAGGAGUCUAACAUAUAUGCGAGUAUUUGGGUGGCAAACCCUUAUGCGAAAUGAAAGUAAACUUAGGUGGGAUCUUCGGUGCACCAUCGACCGGUCUGGAUUUUUUUGAUAGAUCUGAGUAAGAGCAUAUCUGUUGGGACCCGAAAGAUGGUGAACUAUGCCUGAAUAGGGUGAAGCCAGAGGAAACUCUGGUGGAGGCUCGUAGCGAUUCUGACGUGCAAAUCGAUCGUCAAAUUUGGGUAUAGGGGCGAAAGACUAAUCGAACCAUUGAAAUAAGAACACAAGCUCUUAGGUGGUUAAGAGGGACACGAAGUAUGAUCCCUAGUCCAGUGAAAGUGGGCAAGACUGUCAAAUUGCUGGAACACCCUAAAGGCACUGGUACUAAGCCGGUUUGGAAACGAACCGGUGGUCGAGGAACUUGCUCGAGAGUGACAAUCCAGUGCAUGAUGGCCUUCUCUUCCAGAGGAGUGCCUGAAAUGGGCAAUCAGCAGCCAAGCUCUAAGUUCGCUGCUUGCAACGAAUAUGAGUGCAGUUCAGAGACUAGAUGGCAGUCGGUAUCCUCCAACGCUAGUUCGAGGGUGCUUAAGGUAUAGUCCAAUCCCAACCGAGAGGUUGGCCUCCAGACAAAGCUGCAUCGGCACUUUCACCAAAUCUUGACCGUUUUCGAACGGCAGUUUGGCCGUGCAGCCCGAACCUGGUGGACCAAGUCCACAUCGACUUGGUG
rnacentral:rRNA from 1 species